rnacentral:rRNA from 1 species
UACGUAGGGGGCAAGCGUUAUCCGGAUUUACUGGGUGUAAAGGGGGCGCAAACGGCGAUGCAAGCCAGGAGUGAAAGCCCGGGGCCCAACCCCGGGACUGCUCUUGGAACUGCGUGGCUGGAGUGCAGGAGGGGCAGGCGGAAUUCCUAGUGUAGCGGUGAAAUGCGUAGAUAUUAGGAGGAACACCAGUGGCGAAGGCGGCCUGCUGGACUGCAACUGACGUUGAGGCUCGAGGGCGUGGGGAGCAAACAGG